AAUCUAAGUCUAGAUUAAAAAUAUUAUAUCAAAUUUAAAAUAUAAAUCUUAAACACUAAAUCUUAAAUCUACACCUUAAUCCUAAUACCCUAAACCCUAAACUUAAACCUACACAUAAAGUCAUGAAUCUAAUAUUUUCAAACUUAUAAUAUAAAUUUAAAACUUAAAAUCCAAAUAUAUUCUAAAACUUAAUCAUAUACUUCAUUCUAUAUCUUAACCCUAAACCAUAAACCAAAUACCUCAUACUAACAUAUAUCAUAAUACAUUAAAUCUUAAUUUUAAAUAAAUUAUAUUCAUACAAGAAAAAUAUACUACUCCAAACUAAUAACAUUUCAAAUUAUACAUUUACAAAAUAAAAUUAAACCAACAAAUUUAUAUAAACCAAAAAAUACAAUCUAAUCUUUUCAAUCAAACCCUGAACCAUAUAUAUAUAUAUAUCAUACCCCAAAUUCAAACCCUACAUACAAAGUCAUAAAUCUAAUCACUAUAAAUAAUAUAAUUACUAAAGUAGAAUCUAUUCCUUAUAUAAACAAUAACUUUAUUAAUUUUAUUUUCAAUUAUCUAUCUUAACCACAAUUCUAUUUCACAAACCUCAAACCAUAUACUUUAUACUUAACUACAAUUAUAUAAACUAAUAGUCAACAAUAGUAUUAUUAAUUAACAGAUUGUCAAAAUCAAACUGUAAGAUAUUGAUUAUAAAAUCUUAAUUUUAUAUCAAACAUCAAUUUUUAAAAAUUAAAAACCAAAAGUCAUCAAAAUGAAAAUAGAAUCACAAAAGAUAGGAAAAAAAACAAAAAGGAAAAAAUCUAUUGGAAAACUAUUAAAAAAAGGAAAACGAUAGGCCAAUCAACUCUCAUCACGCGGAUCACCAUUUGAACCGCAGGAUCCAAUUAAAUCAAUGGAUGAGAUUUUUUUAUUUUCUUUUCUCAUUUUCUUUUUUUCUCUUUCUCUCGCUCUCUCCACUUACCUCGUCGUGACCUCUGAUUCUUCUCUUUCACUCUCUUUGUAUUUGUCUCUAUCUCUCAUCUUCUUCUACAUGCUUUAAACAAUUUUUUUUCUCAACCACUAUUACCAUAAACGAACCUGUCUCAACCAUCAUCACCCUAACCUAAUCUGUCUCAACCCCAUCAGCUCAAGCGAAAUCUGUCUUCUCUAUUUGUUUAUUUCUGAAUUUAUACAUGAGAUUUUAUGGAGGAGACAGAAGAUUUGGCGGAGGAGAAGGAGGCGUGACGAGCUGAUCGAACGGUGGCUUCAGCACCAGAUUGAAUCCUUGCUUCAGCCAUAGCAUCCAGAGCUGGUUGAGGCAUCGGUGUAGAAGAAGUGGUAUGUGACUGAAAGAUGGUGACGUUGGAGCGCUGUGGUGACGGAGACGGAGCCGCAGCUGAUAUGCGCCGACUUAGGUUUAGGUUUAGUUAAUUAGGUUUGGUAUAAUGUGUUUUAAUUAGUUUUGGUUUAAUGUGUUCUGGUGUAUUUAACUUUUUAAUUCUGGUUUAGUGUUACAUUUAUUUGUAAUUUAAGUUUAAUUAAUAAAAAAACAUUUAUUUGUAAUUUAAGUUUAAUUAAUAAAUAAAAAUUUAUUUUUAA